GAUGAACGCUAGCGGCAGGCUUAACACAUGCAAGUCGAGGGGUAGAACACUUCGGUGUUUGAGACCGGCGCACGGGUGCGUAACGCGUAUGCAAUCUGCCUUGUACAAAGGGAUAGCCCAGAGAAAUUUGGAUUAAUACCUUAUAGUAUAUAGAUGUGGCAUCAUAUUUAUAUUAAAGAUUUAUCGGUACAAGAUGAGCAUGCGUCCCAUUAUCUAGUUGGUAUGGUAACGGCAUACCAAGGCAAUGAUGGGUAGGGGUCCUGAGAGGGAGAUCCCCCACACUGGUACUGAGACACGGACCAGACGCCUACGGGAGGCAGCAGUGAGGAAUAUUGGUCAAUGGGCGCAAGCCUGAACCAGCCAUGCCGCGUGCAGGAUGAAGCAUCUAUGGUGUGUAAACUGCUUUUGUACGGGAAGAAACAACUCUUCGUGAAGAGUCUUGACGGUACCGUAAGAAUAAGGAUCGGCUAACUCCGUGCCAGCCGCCGCGGUAA
rnacentral:rRNA from 1 species